rnacentral:tRNA from 1 species
GGAGAGGUAUCGAAGCGGUCAUAACGAGGCGGUCUUGAAAACCGUUUGGCGUAACAGCCACGUGGGUUCGAAUCCCACCCUCUCCG